rnacentral:ncRNA from 1 species
AGUUUGCUCUUCUAAAAUCCAGAACCCUUGUCUUACAGCUGACCUUCAGCACGCUCAGCAGAAUCCCGAACUCCACACUGUUGUGAUCACUGCAGCCGAGGCUAUCAGUAACCGAGAUAUUGAUGCCCUUAGAUGUCCAGGGCUACACGUGCACUACACUGACUGGCUCAGCUUGUGCCUACCCUCCUCCGGCUGGCGCAGGUCACCCAUUGAACCCCAUUUGUGAUGGGGGUCGCGGAUUGCAAUUCUUCCCCAUGAACGAGGAAUUCCCAGUAAGUGCGGGUCAUACUUGUGUUGAUUAAGUCCCUGCCCCUUGUACACAUAGGACUCCAGUUCUGUUUUGUUGGUUUUCAGAAACAGGGCCAUGAUUAAGA